UACGUAGGGUGCGAGCGUUGUCCGGAAUUAUUGGGCGUAAAGAGCUCGUAGGCGGCUUGUCGCGUCGGAUGUGAAAGCCCGGGGCUUAACUCCGGGUCUGCAUUCGAUACGGGCAGGCUAGAGUUCGGUAGGGGAGAUCGGAAUUCCUGGUGUAGCGGUGAAAUGCGUAGAUAUCGGAAGGAACAUCAGUGGCGAAAGCGGCUUCCUGGACCAGAACUGACGAUCAGGCUCGAAAGCGUGGGGAGCAAACAGG
rnacentral:rRNA from 1 species